UCUUUGUCUGGUCAUUGUUUUCUGUUUCUGAAUGCUCUUGUCCAUGUUCUUGUCCAUGCUCCUGCCCCGGUUUGGUAUGUUUUGGUUUCAAGAUUUUCAUGUUUAAGUUGAACUUUGAUUUUUUUCUUUGUACUUUGUCUUGCUGUUAAGUUGCUACUUUGUCUGGUUGUUUCAGUUGUUACUUUGCUUUUUGUCCCGUUUUGUCUGCCUUGGCUUUUGCUUGCAUUCGGCUUUUGCUAUAUUAAAGCUCGCCUUUUGUUCUCCUUACCUUUGCCUCCCGUAUUUACUGCGUUUGGGUCCACCCUCCCCUUUCCAUAGUUUUCCCUUUUAUCCCGACCUGACAGCUUGUGUGAAAGCCUUUGGAACAAAGUCAUUAUUGCGCCGAAAACGCCGCGGGAAUAAGACCAGCCUGACAAGCAUACAGGGUCAGUGAACACUACAUCACAUUCUGAAGAGGCCGGGACAGAGCUUGUGGCUCUGCAUAGAGAAGUGGAUGAGGCAGUGCAGACGCUUGUGCAGCUUGCCGCAACACCCUGUGAUGAGGUCCAGCUAGCCCCCGGAUUUGUGAUCACAACUUCUCAAACAGUGGUUUAGUGUACUACAGACUGGUGCAGCCACAGCUCCUGAGACCCACCAGGAGGGAUGUGGAGGAUGAGAUGGAGGGAGAAGAUAGAUUCUUCCUUUCCACCUCAGGGAGGCAGAUCCACAAUGCCUCCGAUGACCUGAACCGGCUGCACACAAGUGGAAAACGGCUCUCCUGAGAGUCACCUCAAUAUCCCACAGCUUGUUGAAAAUGCAGAUGGCAGAGUGUUAGUCAAGACCUUCGACUGGCAGAAGCAUUUGAGUCCCAAGUACGAAAGCUCCCAUAGAUCGAGUUAUCAGCACUUCAGCUUUGAUGCCAAGAGACCAGGUGUGGUACUUGCAAGAACUCACUGUGAUGCAGAACCUGUUGAAUUCCAGCAACUGUGAAAUUCAGCGGUUCUGCCACCUGUUGACAGUCUUUGUGUCCUGGCCCCACCUGGACUGAUCAUCAACAGGCAGGUCACAGCACAGAAGAGUAUGCAGAUGUGACGUCACCAAAUAAUGGGAUUCUCCUUCACACCCUCUUCACAAUGUGCUGAUCAGCCACAGACUGAUCUAAACUGCACUUCUAGAUUUCAAUUUAAAUUUCACUUAUAGAGGACCAAAACGAUACGCAUGUCGCAUUCACGCUUUACAGAGUGUUAAACAGAUGUGGCUGUAGAUGUGGUUUAUA